UUUAAUUCGAUGAUACGCGAGGAACCUUACCUAGGCUAGAAUGCGCGUGACCGACUCAGAGAUGGGUCUUUCCUUCGGGACACAAAGCAAGGUGCUGCAUGGCCGUCGUCAGCUCGUGCCGUGAGGUGUUGGGUUAAGUCCCGCAACGAGCGCAACCCCUAUGGUUAGUUGCCAGCACGUAAUGGUGGGGACUCUAGCCAGACUGCCUGCGCAAGCAGUGAGGAAGGCGGGGACGACGUCAGGUCAUCAUGGCCCUUACGCCUAGGGCGACACACGUGCUACAAUGGCCGGUACAGCGGGUAGCUACACGGCGACGUGAUGCCAAUCUCUGUAAAGCCGGUCUCAGUUCGGAUUGGAGUCUGCAACUCGACUCCAUGAAGCUGGAAUCACUAGUAAUCGCGCAUCAGCCAUGGCG
rnacentral:rRNA from 1 species